rnacentral:rRNA from 1 species
UUAGCAUAUCAAUAAGCGGAGGAAAAGAAACUAACAAGGAUUCCCCUAGUAACUGCGAGUGAAGCGGGAAAAGCUCAAAUUUAAAAUCUGGCGGUUUCACCGUCCGAGUUGUAAUCUGGAGAAGCGUUUUCCGCGUCGGACCGUGUACAAGUCUCUUGGAACAGAGCGUCAUAGRGGGUGAGAAUCCCGUCUUUGACACGGACUGCCGAUGCUUUGUGAUACGCUCUCAAAGAGUCGAGUUGUUUGGGAAUGCAGCUCAAAAUGGGUGGUAAAUUCCAUCUAAAGCUAAAUAUUGGCGAGAGACCGAUAGCGAACAAGUACCGUGAGGGAAAGAUGAAAAGCACUUUGGAAAGAGAGUUAAACAGUACGUGAAAUUGUUGAAAGGGAAACGCUUGAAGUCAGUCGCGUUGUCCGGGACUCAGCCUUGCUUCUGCUUGGUGUACUUCCUGGUUGACGGGCCAACAUCGAUUUUGGUCGGCAGAUAAAGGUGGAGGGAAUGUGGCACCUUCGGGUGUGUUAUAGCCCUCUGUCGGAUGUGUCGACUGGGAUCGAGGAUCGCAGCACGCCUUUUUGGCCGGGGUUCGCCCACGUACCGUGCUUAGGAUGUUGGCAUAAUGGCUUUAAGCGACCCGUCUUGAAACACGGACCAAGGAGUCUAACAUGCCCGCGAGUGUUAGGGUGGAAAACCCUUGCGCGUAAUGAAAGUGAAAGUUGGGACCUCUGUCGUGGAGGGCACCGACGCCCGGCCUUGAACUUCUGUGACGGCGCCGCGGUAGAGCGUGUAUGUUGGGACCCGAAAGAUGGUGAACUAUGCCUGAAUAGGGCGAAGCCAGAGGAAACUCUGGUGGAGGCUCGUAGCGAUUCUGACGUGCAAAUCGAUCGUCAAAUUUGGGUAUAGGGGCGAAAGACUA